AGCUCUCUGCGAACUCGUAAGAGGAUGUAUAGAGGGUGACACCUGACCAAUGCCAGAAGGUUAAAUAUUGUUGGUAACGUAUCACAUUGCAUGUGAUACUGAGUAAAAAGUAAAAAGUGUAAAGUUUAUAAAGUAAAAACGAAAAACGUCGUAACUUUUAACUUUCAACUUUAAAACUUUUAACUUAAGUAUCGUGCGCAGCGUGAUACGUUGCUGGACGAUAUAAGCCCUGGUCAAUGUCAGCGAUAACUAUAAUCGUUCUAAGGUUUGUUACAUGUCAUUCCUGUGUGUUUAUUGCGUAGAAUAGGUGGGAGACUUUGAAGCGGCCCUUUUGGGGGUUGUGGAGUCGACAGUGAAAUACCACUCUAUAAAUGUGCAGGUUCUAACCUACAUGGACAUAAAACCCAUGAGAGACAGUGCGUGGCAGGCAGUUUUACUGGGGCGGUACCCUCCUAAAGAGUAACGGAGGGGUUCAAAGGUUAGCUAGGCGCGAAUGGAAACCGUGCCGAUAGUGUAAGAGCAUAAGCUAGCUUGACUGCAAGGGGUACAUCCCGAGCAGGUGCGAAAGCAGAAUCUAGUGAACCGACAGUUCGCAUUAGAUGCGGCUGGAGAUUAACGGAUAAAAGUUACCCCGGGGAUAACAGGCUAGUUCCGCCCAAGCGUCCAAAGCGACGGCGGAGUUCGGCACCUCGAUGUCGGCUCACCACAUCCUGGGGCUGGAGAAGGUCCCAAGGGUACGGCUGUUCGCCGUUUAAAGUGGUACGCGAGCUGGGUUCAAACCGUUCAGAGGUUGAAUCCGCCAGUUGGCGAAUUGACAAUUGAACAGUUUGAACCCGCAUAGAGAGUUUUAGUUUUUCUGUCUUAUAAAGUGUCUAUACAUUUCACCAGCGGUGGUGAUUCAUGUAUAUACAAAAAGUGUAGAGAACAACCUUAUUACGGCGGUACUGAGUUUUUCUCUAUCUACCGUGGGCGUUGAUUCUUGAGGAGAUUUGUCCCUAGUACCCCGUAGGAGACUACUACGUUGAUAGGCACCAGGUGGAAGUACAGUAAUGUAUUAAGCCGAGGUGUACUAAUUCGUCGAGU
rnacentral:rRNA from 1 species